rnacentral:rRNA from 1 species
CUACGUAGGGGGCGAGCGUUACCCGGAUUCACUGGGCGUAAAGGGCGCGUAGGCGGCCGGGUAAGUCCUCUGUAAAAGCCCUCGGCUCAACCGAGGAAGCGCAGGGGAUACUGCCCGGCUUGAGGACAGCAGAGGAGGGUGGAAUUCCCGGUGUAGCGGUAAAAUGCGUAGAUAUCGGGAGGAACACCGGUGGCGAAGGCGGCCCUCUGGGCUGUUCCUGACGCUGAGGCGCGAAAGCGUGGGGAGCAAACAGGAUUAGAAACCCUAGUAGUCC